rnacentral:lncRNA from 1 species
UCGCCGCCUGUAGUCAGCCUCCUAAGCCUGCCUCCUUUGGUCCUCGGCACCUCCUCCUUGGCUCAACUAGGGGCCGCCCCGCACCUCCAGCCCCGGCUGGCCCGCUGGGAGCUGCAGAAAUUCGCUGUCUCCCUCUAUCCCACCUGGGAGAGUUGGAAGAAACCACGGCGAGCAUCCUGU